rnacentral:rRNA from 1 species
UGCCAGCCGCCGCGGUAAUACGGAGGGUGCGAGCGUUCAUCGGAAUUACUGGGCGUAAAGCGCGCGUAGGCGGUUUUGUAAGUCGGAUGUGAAAGCCCCGGGCUUAACCUGGGAAUUGCAUUCGAUACUGCAUCACUAGAGUAUGGGAGAGGGAAGUGGAAUUCCUGGUGUAGAGGUGAAAUUCGUAGAUAUCAGGAGGAACACCGAUGGCGAAGGCAUCUCUCUGGGCCGAUAUUGACGCUGAGGCGCGAAGGCGUGGGUAGUGAACUGGAUUAGAUA